AAACUUUACAAUGCACGAAAGUGUGAUAAGGGAACCCCAAGUGCUUGCUCUUAGAGUGAGCUUUUGCCAUGUGUAAAUAGCAUGGAGAAUAAGGAGUGGGCAAGACCGGUGCCAGCCGCCGCGGUAACACCGGCGCUCCGAGUGGCAAUCACAAUUAUUGGGCCUAAAGCAUCCGUAGCCGAUUAAGUAAAUCUUUUGUGAAAUCGUUAAGCUCAACUUAACGGCGAGCAAAAGACACUGCUAAGUUAGGGACCGGGAGGAGACAGGAGUAUUCCUUGGGUAACGGUAAAAUGUUAUAAUCCUUGGAGGACUACCAGUGGCGAAGGCGCCUGUCUAGAACGGGUUCGACGGUCAGGGAUGAAAGCUAGGGGAGUGAAUCGG
rnacentral:rRNA from 1 species